rnacentral:tRNA from 1 species
GGGGCUGUAGCUCAGUUGGGAGAGCGUGUGGUUCGCAAUCACAAGGUCGGCAGUUCGAUUCUGCUCAGCUCCACCA